GAUUCUUCUCUUUAGGUCGUUCCAUGCAAACUGAAUUGAAUUGAGUUUAUGUAAAGUUUAGGGUUAAGUAUAUACUGGUAAUGGUUCAGUCGGGGUUAGGCGAUAGAAAUGAAUGGAAGUCAGAUAAAGAUGCAUAACGUGUGCGUGUAUUUGUUCAGAUGCUGGGAGUCCAGGGUGCCAGUCAGCAGUACCCAGGGGAGAAUGCCUGCCAGUUGGCCAGGAUUGUAUGUGCCACAGUGCUGGCUGGAGAACUCUCACUGCUGAGUGCUCUGGCUGCUGGGCACCUUGUCAAGAGUCACAUGACUCAUAACAGAUCUAAGGUGGACUUACAUGGGACUCAGGGAACAUGCAGCAGGAGAGGCUCAAUGCAGACUGAAAGAAGUUAGGUCUUGUUCAAGAAACUGGAUGGAAGCCAUAAAGAUUAAGCCAGUUUGAACGGAUUCUUCAUUUAUCAAUGAAGACCUCACCUGUCUUCCACAGCUCUUGAUACAAGAUCAUAUUUUGAUCAAGUAUUCAGUGCUUAAAAUAUCUUAAGCAACUCAGUUUUUCUUACUGCAUGUACUUGUAGUUGAUAAUUUUGUCAUCAAGCACUUUUGCCAAACUAAUCACAAACUGAGAUGUACAAAGGUAAGACUUGAGCUCAAUAAAUGUUUCUUGCUGGGUAGUCAUACUCCCCAGCAAAGUUGCUUUUUA